GGAAGGAGAAGUCGUAACAAGGUUACCGUAGGUGAACCUGUGGUAGGAUCAUUG
rnacentral:rRNA from 2 species